rnacentral:rRNA from 1 species
AUUGAACGCUGGCGGCAGGCCUAACACAUGCAAGUCGAACGAGUGGCGGACGGGUGAGUAAUGGCUGGGAAACUGCCCGAUGGAGGGGGAUAACUACUGGAAACGGUAGCUAAUACCGCAUACCAUCGGAUGUGCCCAGAUGGGAUUAGCUUGUAGGUGAGGUAAUGGCUCACCUAGGCGACGCACCGUAGCUGGUCUGAGAGGAUGACCAGCCACACUGGGACUGAGACACGGUCCAGAAUCCGACGGGAGGCAGCAGUGGGGAAUGUUGGACAAUGGGCGAAAGCCUGAGGCAGCCAUGCCGCGUGUGUGAAGAAGGCCUUCGGGUUGUAAAGUACUGUCAGCGGGGAGGCGUUACCCGCAGAAGAAGCACCGGCUAACUCCGUGCCAGCAGCCGCGGUAAUAC